rnacentral:lncRNA from 1 species
UUUUAGAUUACGUCAGGCUUUUAGAAAAAUUUCUGUUAAGACCUAGUGGAUGACAUGUUUAAAACAUUUAAGUACUGCAGUACUAACAGGUCUUCUGUAGACAUUUGAUAAGUCAAGUUACUGCUGGCAUCAUCGUGGACCGAUACGGCGUCGUUUCAUUCAGCAGCUGAGCGAAUUUCUAAUGCAUCAAAACCUGUGGUUUUGAUUAUCAGCAUAAAUGAAAAGAAAGUUUCAAAAGUCGGGCUCAAACCCCUAAACAAAUUUCUAAUGCAUCAAAACCUGUCAUUUUGAUUAUCAACAUAAAUGUAAAGAAAGCUUCAAAGGUCGGGCUCGAACCUCUAACCUCUGGUUAAGAAAUUCAUAUCUUUAACUAAGUGGGUUUUCAAAUCUAGACCGAAUUUUUUAUAUAUUACAAUUUUCUGACUAUUAUUUUUGUUGUUUGUCAAAUUUAAUCCAUUAACCAAAUCUUCCAUUAAUAAUUACACUACACUGUUACUGAUGAGGCAAACAAAGCUGACAUGGCCCCAUUUGACAGGUCAAAUUAAGGCCAAAUCAGAUGCCACAUUUGCAUUAAAAUAUAAAAAGUAGAAAAUCCUCACCUCAUCCCAUCUUCCCAACCUCGCCGAUGGUCGUCCUGUAUUUUCCCGGAACAUUAGCUUCAAAACCAUGUACCUAUGCCUGACAGAGAAUUGGGGAAGUUUGCCCCUCAAAAUAGAUGAUUCAGAGGACAUGCUUCUCUUUGGCGUGUAUCCACGGCGGGUGGGCCCCCAACCGGAUCAGCAAUCUUUGGAUUUCCCUCUGGUGGUGAGUCUUCCGCAGGUGAAAUAGGAGCCGUCGGUGGUUAACUCCCAUCGGUUGGAGGUUCAAGUGUCGUCGACGCCUGUGGCAGUGGAGGUGGUGCCGCCGAAUGGGAAGCACUACUGGGGAGUGAGGCAGAGGCUGUGGGGGAAGUUCGCGGCGGAGAUUCGAGACCCGACGAAGAACGGGGCUCAGGUCUGGUUGGGAACGUUCCAGACGGCGGAGGACGCAACUCUCGCUUACGAUCGGGCGGCUUACAGGAUGCGCGGGUCCAGGGCGCUGUUGAAUUUCCCGAUGAGGGUUAAUUAAGGGGAGCCCGGUCCGGAGCCUACUGGUUUGUCGACUUCUUCGUCUUCGUCCGGGUCGGAUAAUAGGUCGCCCAAGACCAAUAAGGGGAGGAAGGAUGCCAGGUCUUCGGGUAUUGUUGCUGCUACUGGUAAGCAAGUGGCUAUGGGUGAUGUCAACAAUGAGAGUUUCUCUCUCUAUCCACAGUUAUUCCUCUUCCUAACCGAUGGGGAGGCGGAGGUGCAGGUGGGGGAGAUGCGAUGAAGAGGGGGCUUUGGUGGAUUGGACUUGGAAGUUGACAGUUGUAAAGAUUUUAUUUUGUUUAUUUUGUUUUAACUUUUUAUUUAUUUUGUUAUGCUGCCACAUCAGACUAUAUGCCAACAUCAGUUUUUUAAUUUGGGUUAAUUUGGAUGGAAAUGUUGACGAAAUUUUAUUAAACGGCAGAAUUUGAUAUUAAAUUAAUUCGAUUUAGAUUUGACAACCCGAUCAAAAAUUUGACUAAUUUUUUUU